UUUUUAUACCGAGGCGUGGAGAGAAAGGCUCGACGAAACGCCGGCAACCCCCAGCAACCCUGGAACGGUGCCAACCGAGGUCAGCGCAAGUAACUGCUGACCAUAUAAAAA
rnacentral:ncRNA from 2 species